rnacentral:lncRNA from 1 species
GGCAGUUUUGUGGUCCUCUGGCAGAACUAGCGUCAGGGACAACGUGCUAGGCCCGCGGUGGGACAGUGAGCAGUUCAGGGCGCCGCAGCCGAGGCCUUCCUCCAGGAAAAGUUUGCCAGUUCCUAAUCCAGGACACAUGUAUUUACAUGGUUGUUAAACUUUUCUGAACAGCCAGUGGGAUGUGGUAAAUAUUUAACAGCAGCUUCUCUGGAAGAGAAUGUAUUCGUUAG